CCCCUCUCUGUACCACCAUCUGAAAUGUGACAGGUGGGGGCACAGCUACUAAAUAUUUAAAACUAGAAAGGGCCAAUCCCUGUAACCAGGACUGGACUGGCCCAACGCAAAAUAUUCACCUUACCUUCGCCUGACAAUGCUUUCCGAUGGGGUUUUGAGUGACACUGGCUGAUCUCAUGCAUAGCUUGAGAACAUCCAGCGUCAAUUAGGCGAAGCUUAACGACCUCAAAGUCCCUCUAG